rnacentral:ncRNA from 2 species
AGAGGGAACGGUGAUGGAUUGCCACCGGGUUCCUUGUGGGCCGAACCGCCACCCGGUUGCCGGGGAAGGCUGAUGAUUCCUGCCAACAG